ACUAAGCGUACACGGUGGAUGCCCUGGCAGUCAGAGGCGAUGAAGGACGUGCUAAUCUGCGAAAAGCGUCGGUAAGGUGAUAUGAACCGUUACAGCCGGCGAUGUCCGAAUGGGGAAACCCAGUGCAAUUCGUUGCACUAUCGUUAACUGAAUACAUAGGUUAACGAGGCGAACCGGGGGAACUGAAACAUCUAAGUACCCCGAGGAAAAGAAAUCAACCGAGAUUCCCCCAGUAGCGGCGAGCGAACGGGGAGGAGCCCAGAGCCUGAAUCAGUGUGUGUGUUAGUGGAAGCGUCUGGAAAGGCGUGCGAUACAGGGUGACAGCCCCGUACACAAAAAUGCACAUACUGUGAGCUCGAUGAGUAGGGCGGGACACGUGGUAUCCUGUCUGAAUAUGGGGGGACCAUCCUCCAAGGCUAAAUACUCCUGACUGACCGAUAGUGAACCAGUACCGUGAGGGAAAGGCGAAAAGAACCCCGGCGAGGGGAGUGAAAAAGAACCUGAAACCGUGUACGUACAAGCAGUGGGAGCCUCUUAAUGGGGUGACUGCGUACCUUUUGUAUAAUGGGUCAGCGACUUAUAUUCUGUAGCAAGGUUAACCGAAUAGGGGAGCCGAAGGGAAACCGAGUCUUAACUGGGCGUUAAGUUGCAGGGUAUAGACCCGAAACCCGGUGAUCUAGCCAUGGGCAGGUUGAAGGUUGGGUAACACUAACUGGAGGACCGAACCGACUAAUGUUGAAAAAUUAGCGGAUGACUUGUGGCUGGGGGUGAAAGGCCAAUCAAACCGGGAGAUAGCUGGUUCUCCCCGAAAGCUAUUUAGGUAGCGCCUCGUGAAUUCAUCUCCGGGGGUAGAGCACUGUUUCGGCAAGGGGGUCAUCCCGACUUACCAACCCGAUGCAAACUGCGAAUACCGGAGAAUGUUAUCACGGGAGACACACGGCGGGUGCUAACGUCCGUCGUGAAGAGGGAAACAACCCAGACCGCCAGCUAAGGUCCCAAAGUCAUGGUUAAGUGGGAAACGAUGUGGGAAGGCCCAGACAGCCAGGAUGUUGGCUUAGAAGCAGCCAUCAUUUAAAGAAAGCGUAAUAGCUCACUGGUCGAGUCGGCCUGCGCGGAAGAUGUAACGGGGCUAAACCAUGCACCGAAGCUGCGGCAGCGACACUAUGUGUUGUUGGGUAGGGGAGCGUUCUGUAAGCCUGUGAAGGUGUACUGUGAGGUAUGCUGGAGGUAUCAGAAGUGCGAAUGCUGACAUAAGUAACGAUAAAGCGGGUGAAAAGCCCGCUCGCCGGAAGACCAAGGGUUCCUGUCCAACGUUAAUCGGGGCAGGGUGAGUCGACCCCUAAGGCGAGGCCGAAAGGCGUAGUCGAUGGGAAACAGGUUAAUAUUCCUGUACUUGGUGUUACUGCGAAGGGGGGACGGAGAAGGCUAUGUUGGCCGGGCGACGGUUGUCCCGGUUUAAGCGUGUAGGCUGGUUUUCCAGGCAAAUCCGGAAAAUCAAGGCUGAGGCGUGAUGACGAGGCACUACGGUGCUGAAGCAACAAAUGCCCUGCUUCCAGGAAAAGCCUCUAAGCAUCAGGUAACAUCAAAUCGUACCCCAAACCGACACAGGUGGUCAGGUAGAGAAUACCAAGGCGCUUGAGAGAACUCGGGUGAAGGAACUAGGCAAAAUGGUGCCGUAACUUCGGGAGAAGGCACGCUGAUAUGUAGGUGAAGUCCCUCGCGGAUGGAGCUGAAAUCAGUCGAAGAUACCAGCUGGCUGCAACUGUUUAUUAAAAACACAGCACUGUGCAAACACGAAAGUGGACGUAUACGGUGUGACGCCUGCCCGGUGCCGGAAGGUUAAUUGAUGGGGUUAGCGGUAACGCGAAGCUCUUGAUCGAAGCCCCGGUAAACGGCGGCCGUAACUAUAACGGUCCUAAGGUAGCGAAAUUCCUUGUCGGGUAAGUUCCGACCCGCACGAAAGGUGUAACGACUUGCGCACUGUCUCAACGAGGGACCCGGUGAAAUUGAAGUACCUGUGAAGAUGCAGGUUACCCGCGACUGGACAGAAAGACCCCAUGGAGCUUUACUGCAACCUAAGAUUGAAUUUAGUUAUUGAAUGUACAGGAUAGGUGGGAGACGUAGAGACUAGGGCGCCAGUCUUAGUGGAGUCAUUGUUGGGAUACCACCCUUUCCAUAAUUGAAUUCUAACGGGGAGACUAACACCCUCCCGGACAGUCUUAGGCGGGCAGUUUGACUGGGGCGGUCGCCUCCGAAAAUGUAACGGAGGCGCCCAAAGGUUCCCUCAGAGCGGACGGAAAUCGCUCGAAGAGUGUAAAGGCAGAAGGGAGCUUGACUGCGAGACGGACAGGUCGAGCAGGGACGAAAGUCGGGCUUAGUGAUCCGGUGGUGCCGAGUGGAAGGGCCAUCGCUCAACGGAUAAAAGCUACCCUGGGGAUAACAGGCUAAUCUCUCCCAAGAGUCCAUAUCGACGGGGAGGUUUGGCACCUCGAUGUCGGCUCAUCACAUCCUGGGGCUGAAGUAGGUCCCAAGGGUAUGGCUGUUCGCCAUUUAAAGUGGUACGCGAGCUGGGUUUAGAACGUCGUGAGACAGUUCGGUCCCUAUCUGCCGUGGGCGCUGGAGAACUGAGGGGGGCUGCUCCUAGUACGAGAGGACCGGAGUGGACGCAUCACUGGUGUUCGGGUUGUCAUGCCAAUGGCACUGCCCGGUAGCUAAAUGCGGAAGAGAUAAGUGCUGAAAGCAUCUAAGCACGAAACUUGCCCCGAGAUGAGUUCUCCCUGACUCCUUGAGAGUCCUGAAGGAACGUUGAAGACGACGACGUUGAUAGGCCGGGUGUGUAAGCGCAGCGAUGCGUUGAGCUAACCGGUACUAAUGAACCGUGAGGCUUAACC
rnacentral:rRNA from 1 species